AAAAACCCUCACUAGAUCUAAAAUUCUACUUUCUGAUACCAUGACCCAUUUAAACCUCAAUAACCUUCAAUUCAACUAUUAGAUCGAGCUCAAAUUCACAACACAUAUUAAAUUCAACUAUAAACAUUAAUCCAAAAAAUUUUACUCAUAGAUCUAUUACAAAACUCUUGAAAUCAUCCAAAAUAUAAACCUUCUUUUAUUUCAUAAAUCCAAGUCAUCCAAAAACAAACCUUGACUUUGCAAAGCUCUUACAAAGUCAUAACAACUCCCAAUCAUCCAAAACCAAUGCUCUUAGAAAUCCUUUCCAAUCUGAUAUCAAACCCCACUCUCCG
rnacentral:lncRNA from 1 species